UACGAAGGGGGCUAGCGUUGCUCGGAAUUACUGGGCGUAAAGGGCGCGUAGGCGGAUAGUUUAGUCAGAGGUAAAAGCCCAGGGCUCAACCUUGGAACUGCCUUUGAUACUGGCUAUCUUGAGUUCGGGAGAGGUGAGUGGAAUGCCGAGUGUAGAGGUGAAAUUCGUAGAUAUUACGGAAGAACACCAGUGGCGAAGGCGACUUACUGGACACAUAUUGACGCUGAGGUGCGAAAGCGUGGGGAGCAAACAGGAU
rnacentral:rRNA from 1 species